rfam:Wickerhamomyces anomalus NRRL Y-366-8 unplaced genomic scaffold WICANscaffold_1, whole genome shotgun sequence.
GGCACUUUGGCCGAGUGGUUAAGGCGAAAGACUUGAAUGAAAUCAUACAUUAAAGUGUGAAAAACAAGGUUAUCUUUUGGGAUUUUCCCGCGCAGGUUCGAGUCCUGCAGGUGUCG